GUCCGUCAGCAACAACGGGGCGUUUCGUACCUUCCUGUCGAGGUACCUUCGAGGCCGAGCUCCUAAGUUGAAGUCUGCUGAAGUGUCCUUAGUCUUUGCUGCAUAGGCCGCCAAAGCCCUCUACUUUUCAGUGGAUCCAAAAGCACGUGUUUUGGAUUGUAAGCAAGAAACAAAGAAUGAAGGAAAGCCAGGAAGUCAUCAAUCUAGGAAAAAAGUUAGAGUUUUAACUAUGGCUCCUCCCAACAACUGAUUAAAGGCUAAGACAGCAGCUUGGCUGGAAAGACCGCUUCCCUCCUGACUCCCAAGUUGUUUCAGGCUCUGUUUAAGACUUUUGCUUCUUCAGUGGAGCACUGAGUUUUUGCUGCUCUGUGGAACAGUCAGGUUGAGAAUUCUCUACAGUCUUCUGGGGUUAAGGAAGAUGGCGUGAAAAAGAAGCUGCAGAAGGAACACCUGUGCAACUAUCAGGAGGAAAUAUUGUUUUGGGAAAAGAAGAAUUAAUUGCUGGAUGUUGUGACUGUGUGGAAAAUUAGGUCACCCUAGUUUUUCAUACUAUUUUAGGACCAGGUAACUAAUCACAAACCAGUAGUGUAAUAGGGUCAGAGAGUUUUUAUGGGGCUGUUAGACAAGUCGUAGACACCUGUACAAAUAGGAGAGCUCCCAGGAUGUGUGAGCUCAGCAAGGAGGAGCUCAGCAAGGUUUUUGCUUGAUAUCCUACCAUAUAACACUUAAUUUUGUGCAUUUUCUGAUUAAUCAUAAAAUCUCAUCCAGCUGACUUCCAUAGCCAACUGGAUCAGGUAGUCCUCUGUUCCAUAGACGCAGAGCCUUUCCCUGUCCCUCUCCAAUGGAAAUUCUGCAGGAAAUGUUUGAUGUAAAGCAUGCCAAGGUGCCACCAGUCUGAAUUUCUUAUUAGAAUUUUAGUAUUUCUCUGGAUUUGACUUAUUCUUUAUAAUAAAAAUUAUUUUGGUUAUGCAAAACCUCUGCCCUACCUUUUCUCCUUGCCAUGUAGAAGUUUGAGCACUAUUGUAUCUUACUGGAUUAUUUUCUCCUUUUUGUUUCUUUCUCUUUUCUUCUUUUUUUAAUGCUGUUUUGACAGCCAGUCAAUUUUUUUACCUCCCUUUGAAGAAGCUACUCAAAAGGGCAGGAGCACAUGAGCUAACUUCAGGGAUGAAAAAGGAGAGGUAUUUUUAGAAUAAGGGGAACACAAAAAAAGAACUGGUUUAUUUAUUGUAAAAAACUGUGGAGGUCCUUAGCUUUGAGGCAGGCUGAUGGCAUGUCUGCCACACUCAUGACAGACACUUCAAAGUGCAGAGACAUUCUACAGCACUUCAAGGAAUUUCCUGCUCUGCAAAUAAUGCUGCAGAAGAAACACUCAAGUACAAGCAGCACAGCAUUGCAGAAAAUCAGGUGGGAUGUUUAACAAACCUUCCAGUUUUAUGAAGUAGGGGAAUUCCAUUAGGAGUGUGGACUAUUUACCUUAACACAAUCUUUCAUUGAUAUAAGAGAAGUAGAACUUGCUCUGUAGGUUUGUAAUUGCUGAAAUUAAUAAGUGUGGCUCAUCACUCUCUGCAGUACUAUACCAAUUUACUGUGCUCUUUUAUCUCAAUUACUUUCUGUGUGCGUCUUAUAUUUCUCUAUUAAACUUCAGUAAUUGUAACACUGUGGUAAUAACAUUAACAUACUGAGUAUUAUAUGAUGGGCUAUUUUACUUUAC